GCACCCGUAGCUCAGUUGGAUAGAGCACUCGGCUACGAACCGAGAGGUCGGGGGUUCAAAUCCUCUCGGGUGUA
rnacentral:tRNA from 1 species